UUCGCCAUUUAAUUGAUGGAUAGUAUGAAUGGUCAAACGAGUAUAGCACUGUCUUAAAUAGAAAAAUUAUGAAAUUGGAAUAUUAGUAAAGAUACUAAUUAACACUGUAAGACGAGAAGACCCUAUAGAGCUUAACUACAUCUCUUUCACAACUUUAAAUUAAUUUAAUUAAAAAAAGAGGUAGGUAGUUUAGUUGGGGCGACUACUUUCUACAAAAAACGAAAGCAGACAAUAAUCAAUCAAUCGAUUUACUGUAUAAUGAUUAAAUUUAACAGUUAUAAUAAUAGGUGAUAGUGACCCGUUAUCUGUUAGUAAAAACAAUAACGAUCAAUAAAUAAAAGCUACCUUAGGGAUAACAGGAUAAUCUUGUUNUAGAGAUCAUAU
rnacentral:rRNA from 1 species